rnacentral:rRNA from 1 species
GACGAACGCUGGCGGCGUGCUUAACACAUGCAAGUCGAACGGAAAGGCCCUGCUUUUGUGGGGUGCUCGAGUGGCGAACGGGUGAGUAACACGUGAGUAACCUGCCCUUGACUUUGGGAUAACUUCAGGAAACUGGGGCUAAUACCGGAUAGGAGCUCCUGCUGCAUGGUGGGGGUUGGAAAGUUUCGGCGGUUGGGGAUGGACUCGCGGCUUAGCAGCUUGUUGGUGGGGUAGUGGCUUACCAAGGCUUUGACGGGUAGCCGGCCUGAGAGGGUGACCGGCCACAUUGGGACUGAGAGACGGCCCAGACUCCUACGGGAGGCAGCAGUGGGGAAUAUUGCACAAUGGGCGGAAGCCUGAUGCAGCAACGCCGCGUGCGGGAUGACGGCCUUCGGGUUGUAAACCGCUUUCGCCUGUGACGAAGCGUGAGUGACGGUAAUGGGUAAAGAAGCACCGGCUAACUACGU